UUAACAGUGUUCUCCAGGGAUCAUUUCUAUAACUUUUUACUUGAGAAAUGUGUUCUUAAAAAGGCUGGUGUCUCAAACCAGGAGGAGGAGAUAUAGCAUUUCUUUUUGAGCAUGAAGCUCAGUAUUGCUUUUUGCAAGAGCUUUUAGCCAUUGAUUAUCAUUCCUUUUUCUCAUUGAGAAGAAAUUUGAGGAAGGAAAUGCAUUCUAAGUGGA